GACGAACGCUGGCGGCGUGCCUAAUACAUGCAAGUAGAACGCAGUUGCGAACGUGUGAGUAACGCAUCGGUAACUGCCUGGUAGCGGGGGAUAACUACUGUAAACGAUAGCUCAUACCGCAUACUACCAGGUGUACCUGCGUUGUAUUAGCUCGUUGGGGGGGUAACGGCACACCAAGGCAACGAUACAUAGCCGAGCUGAGAGGGUUGUCGGCCAAAAUGGGACUGGGAAAAGGCCCCGAAUCCUAAGGGAGGCAGCAGUAGGGAAUCUUGGGCAAUGGGGGGAAACCUGAACGAGGAACGGCGCGUGAGUGAAGAAGGUUUUCGGGUCGUAAAGCUAUGUUGUUAAGGAAGCGGUACUUAAACAGAAAGGGACGGCUAACUACGUGCCAGCAGCCGCGGUAAUUC
rnacentral:rRNA from 1 species